UUAUUUGCGGAUGUAGCAUCAUCAAGAUUCACAUUCAAAUGCAGAUGGGUGGAAUCUGAUGCAGUCUAUAUAUGCUCUCUGCCAUGCCAUAAGUCUUUUGAAGUGAGAAUCUUGAUGAUGCUGCAUCAGCCAUAAA